rnacentral:rRNA from 1 species
CCUGAUUGAUCCUGCUAGUAGUCAUAUGCUUGUCUCAAAGAUAAAGUCAUGCAUUAUAAAUAUGAACAAAUUCAAACCAUGAAACUGUGAAUGGUUCAUUAAAUCAGUUAUUGUUUGCUUGAUGGUACAUGUUACUCGGAUAACCAUAGUAAUUCUAGAGCUAUAAACACAAAAAAUAGGCUUCUGGUAUUGAUGCAUUUAUUAGAUAAAAUGCCAACAUGGGCUCUGCUAGCUGCUUCGAUGAUUCAUGAUAACUUGACAGAUCACAAGGCCUUCAUGUCGGCAACGCACAUUCAAAUUUCGGUCCUAUCAACUUUUGAUCGUAGGAUCGAGCCUACCAUGUUUGUGAUGGGUGAUGAAGAAUUAGGUUUGAUUUAGGAGAGGGAGCAUGAUAAACAGCUACCACAUCCAAGGAAGGCAACAGACAUGCAAAUUACCCAAUCCUUCCAUGGAGAGAUAGUGACAAUAAAUAACAAUAUAGGGCUUAUUCGAGCCCAGUAAUUAGAAUAAGUACAAUCUAAAUUCCUUAAUGAGGAUCCAUUGGGCAAGUCUAAUACGAACGACCAUGGUAAUUCUAGCUCUAAUAGCAUAUAUUUAAGUUGUUGUAGUUAAAAAGCUUAUAGUUUGACCUUGAGCUGGAUUAGUCGGUCUGCUUUAGGGUGUUUACCAGCUGUCUCAACCCUUCUGCCGGCAAUGCCCUCUUGGCCUUAACUAGCUUAGCCAUGCCUCUGGUGCUAUUGCUUUGAAGAAAUUAGAGUGCUCAAAACAAGCCUACGCGUUGUAUACAUUAGCAUGUGAUAAUAUCAUAGGGUUUCUGUCUUAUUGUGUUGGCCUUUGAGAUUGGAGUAAUGACUAAGAGGGAUAGUCGGGUGCAUUCAUACCUUGUAUUCAGGGUUGAAAUUAUUGGAUUUAUGAAAAAUGAAAAACUAUGAAAGCAUUUGCCAAGGAUGUUUUCAUUACUCAAGAAUGAAAGUUGAGGGCUCAAAGACGAUCAACUAUUGUCCUAAUCUCAAACAAAAACGAUGCCGACUAGGGAUUAAUAUAUGUUUCUUUUAGGACUCCGCUAGUACUUUAUGAGAAAUUAAAGUUUUUGGGGGCGAGAAUGGUUGCAAGGCUGAAACUUAAAGGAAUUACUAGAUGAGCAACUCCAAGAGUGGAGCAUACAGCUUAAUUUGGCUCAACAAGGGGAAUUGACAGACUGAGAGCUCUUUCUUGAUUCUAUGGGUGGUGAUGCACAAUCAUUCUUAGUUGUUGGAGUGAUUUGUCUAUUUAGUUUCUAUGGGUGGUGAUGCACAUUCAAGAGCAGCUAUAACCUGCCAAUCCAAAAUAGACCAAUACAGAAGCUAAUGAUGCCUUUUGGGCCAUAGUUAACCACCAGACUACCUUGAUUGAACAGUGCACAAACUUGGCUAAACCUAGUAGCCACGAAGAGGGCUCUCAAUCUGACGACCCUGAAUUUGACCCUUCUUAUGUGCCUUAUUAUAACAAGGGUGGACAUGACGAUCUCCAUCAGAGUCUGUC